rnacentral:rRNA from 1 species
AUUGAACGCUGGCGGCAGGCUUAACACAUGCAAGUCGAGCGGAGAUGAGGUGCUUGCACCUUAUCUUAGCGGCGGACGGGUGAGUAAUGCUUAGGAAUCUGCCAUUUAGUGGGGGACAACAUUCCGAAAGGAAUGCUAAUACCGCAUACGUCCUACGGGAGAAAGCAGGGGAUCUUCGGACCUUGCGCUAAAUGAUGAGCCUAAGUCGGAUUAGCUAGUUGGUGGGGUAAAGGCCUACCAAGGCGACGAUCUGUAGCGGGUCUGAGAGGAUGAUCCGCCACACUGGGACUGAGACACGGCCCAGACUCCUACGGGAGGUAGCAGUGGGGAAUAUUGGACAAUGGGCGGAAGCCUGAUCCAGCCAUGCCGCGUGUGUGAAGAAGGCCUUUUGGUUGUAAAGCACUUUAAGCGAGGAGGAGGCUACUAGUACUAAUACUACUGGAUAGUGGACGUUACUCGCAGAAUAAGCACCGGCUAACUCUGUGCCAGCAGCCGCGGUAAAAC